GUCCACGCCGUAAACGUUGGGCGCUAGGUGUGGGGCUCUUUCCACGAGUUCCGUGCCGCAGCAAACGCAUUAAGCGCCCCGCCUGGGGAGUACGGCCGCAAGGCUAAAACUCAAAGGAAUUGACGGGGGCCCGCACAAGCGGCGGAGCAUGCGGAUUAAUUCGAUGCAACGCGAAGAACCUUACCAAGGCUUGACAUGGGCAGAAAUCCGGCAGAGAUGUCGGGUCCGUAAGGGCUGCUCACAGGUGGUGCAUGGUUGUCGU
rnacentral:rRNA from 1 species